rnacentral:rRNA from 1 species
UACGGGGGGGGGCAAGCGUUGUUCGGAAUUACUGGGCGUAAAGGGCGCGUAGGCGGUUGGAUAAGUCAGCUGUGAAAACCACGGGCUUAACUCGUGGCCUGCAGUUGAGACUGUCUGGCUUGAGUGUGGGAGAGGAGAGUGGAAUUCCUGGUGUAGCGGUGAAAUGCGUAGAUAUCAGGAGGAACACCGGUGGCGAAGGCGGCUCUCUGGACCACAACUGACGCUGAGGCGCGAAAAGCUAGGGGGAGCAAACAGG